rnacentral:rRNA from 1 species
GACGAACGCUGGCGGCGUGCUUAACACAUGCAAGUCGAACGGGUCUGCCCUGUUUUUUGCGGGGUGGGUCAGUGGCGAACGGGUGAGUAACACGUGAGUAACCUGCCCCUCACUUCUGGAUAACCGCUUGAAAGGGUGGCUAAUACGGGGUGUUCUGGCUGUGCCGCAUGGUGUGGCUGGGAAAGAUUCACUUUUGUGGUGUUUUGGUGGGGGAUGGGCUCGCGGCCUAUCAGCUUGUUGGUGGGGUGAUGGCCUGCCAAGGCUUUGACGGGUAGCCGGCCUGAGAGGGUGGGCGGUCACACUGGGACUGAGCUACGGCCCAGACUACUGCGGGAGGCAGCAGUGGGGGGUAUUGCACAAUGGGCGGAAGCCUGAUGCAGCGACGUCGCGUGAGGGAUGGAGGCCUUCGGGUUGUGAACCUCUUUCGCCGGUGAAGAAGGUCCUGCUCUUUGUGGUGGGGUUGACGGUAGCCGGGUUAUGAAGCGCCGGCUAACUACGUG